AUUGAACGCUGGCGGCAGGCCUAACACAUGCAAGUCGAACGAGUGGCGGACGGGUGAGUAAUGUCUGGGGAACUGCCUGAUGGAGGGGGAUAACUACUGGAAACGGUAGCUAAUACCGCAUACCAUCAGAUGUGCCCAGAUGGGAUUAGCUUGUUGGUGGGGUAACGGCUCACCAAGGCGACGAGCCCUAGCUGGUCUGAGAGGAUGAUCAGCCACACUGGGACGGAGACACGGCCCAGACUCCUACGGGAGGCAGCAGUGGGGAAUAUUGCACAAUGGGCGCAAGCCUGAUGCAGCCAUGCCGCGUGUAUGAAGAAGGCCUUCGGUUUGUAAAGUACUUUCAGUGGGGAGGCGUUACCGACAGAAGAAGCACCGGCUAACUCCGUGCCAGCAGCCGCGGUAAUUC
rnacentral:rRNA from 1 species